CCUUUUAAAGUGGGUUUGUGUUCUAGGGUUUAUGAAUGGGCCAGGGAUGGAGCUCGGAAAAUGCGAUGGAUUUCUGCCGAUCGAGAGCUCUAACAUCGCAUUUCCGUGGAGAUCGGCGCAAUGCUGCUCGAGCACUGUGGUGAAUCUUUGAGAAUGCAAUGCCAUGGCGCGAUUUCUUUUUGUUGGCGCUGGAGCUCGUCACAGAAGAUCCGUGAAAUCUGAGAGGAAGAGUGCGCUGUGAUGCGCUUACUUUUGUGCUCCAACUGUGUUAGCUCCAGGCCAUCGUUUGGUAAAUUUUGGUUUUCAAGCUAAGAAUCGCGUCCAUUGCUA